AGGGGUGCAAGUUUGGGACAUUAAUACUAAAGAUUCAAAAACUUAGUGUUGUACGGUAAGACUAUUUAUCCCAUAUUUUGAAAAUUAUCACACCAGUCGGAACAAGUAAAAAUAUUUUCAAAUUAGAGAAAAGGAAAUGAACCACAUAAACUAAUACUGGUCAUAAAUUCGCCGCUGCUGUCAGUCAGUCAUAGAUGGCACUAAACUAUAAUACACUUAAAUUAAUUAACCUUGUUCACGGCUGGAACAAUAGUUUAAUAUUCAUACACAGUUUUUAGACUAUAACAAAUUAAAAAUAAACAAAAAUGAUGUUUCACGAUCAUUAAUCCAUCGCUACAUUUUGUAUUCUAACGUUGUUUUUUUUUUGUUUUUUUGUAAUGGUGUUUCUUUCACGUCCGCAAUUUCGAUGUUAAAAAUAGAACACAAAUCUUUAAAUAGAUACAUGUAUAAAUAGUAUAUGGUUAAACCGUUUGAAGAUUUAUACAUGGCUUAGUAUCCUAAUAGUAUUGAUUCGUAUGGUUGUCUUCUCAAAGGAAUUGUUAU
rnacentral:lncRNA from 1 species